rnacentral:rRNA from 1 species
UGCUACCUACGGGAGGCAGCAGUAGGGAAUAUUGCUCAAUGGGGGAAACCCUGAAGCAGCAACGCCGCGUGGAGGAUGAAGGUUUUCGGAUUGUAAACUCCUUUUGUUAGAGAAGAUAAUGGCGGUAUCUAACGAAUAAGCACCGGCUAACUCCGUGCCAGCAGCCGCUGUAAUACGGAGGGUGCAAUCGUUACUCGGAAUCACUGGGCGUAAAGAGCGCGUAGACGGGAAAGCAAGUCGGAUGUGAAAUCCUAUGGCUUAACCA